UCCAAUUUCCGGGUGUAUGCG
rnacentral:siRNA from 1 species